CAGUAGCCGCGGGAAUACGUAGGUCCCGAGCGUUGUCCGGAUUUAUUGGGCGUAAAGCGAGCGCAGGCAGUUUGAUAAGUCUGAAGUUAAAGGCUGUGGCUCAACCAUAGUUCGCUUUGGAAACUGUCAAACUUGAGUGCAGAAGGGGAGAGUGGAAUUCCAUGUGUAGCGGUGAAAUGCGUAGAUAUAUGGAGGAACACCGGUGGCGAAAGCGGCUCUCUGGUCCGUAACUGACGCUGAGGCUCGAAAGCGUGGGGAGCGAACGGGAUUAGAUACCCCCGUAGUCCCUGUCUCUUAUACA
rnacentral:rRNA from 1 species